UAAAAGAAAUAAAAAUUUUGAAUUUCAAAAAAGCAAUGUGCCCCUACGAUCAUAUUAUUGUGGAAAGCUUAAAAGAAGUAUUACCUGAAGUAAUAAUCAGAUGAUCAUUGUUCAGCUUCGUGAAGCUAAUGACUAGAAAGUGGUCAUCUCUUGACUUGCCGAAAGACUAUAAUCACACAGUCUUCAAAACUAGCAUGAUUUUAAAACUAUUACCACCUGAAAAAGUUAAGGAAGGAAUAAAAGUGGUGAAACACCAAACAGAACUUGAAUCUGACAGAUUUGAAGAUCUUCUUGCUUUUGCAAAAUUCGUUGAAAAGUGUUCACCUCUGAUUGAAGAGAACGUUCACUGGCGACAAUAUCAACGAAGCGAUUGACUAUGCGGAAUCCCAUAAUUUACAUAUGGUGAAACAACUGGGAAAACAUGAAGCUCUCCAUUCUUUUCUGAAAUUACUGAAAAUGAAUAUUAAAAAAAAUGAAGAUUUGAGCAAAAGUAGAGGAAAUCAUAAUAAGAUAAAAGUCAAUGUCAGAGUAACGAAGUCUAUUGUAAAAGAACAAGAGAAAUUUAAGAACAAAAAUCAAACUGUAGAAAAAUUUCUAAAUUUUAUAAUGUAAACAGAUAUGGAGAAAUUUUUAAUGUUGCAGUCGUCAUGGCCUCAGUAUCGUGAUGAUGCAGGGAAAUUACUUCGUUUACCAAACUUUCAUUGUUACCAUCUUGAAAGCAAACCAAGUGAAGAUUGCGUGUAUUGUAUGACCGAAAAAGCUUGUGUACAGAUAAAUCUCUGUAAAAACGUAAUUGCCUGCAUGACAUGUUGGAUUUUCGAUUAUUACUCGAUGAAACGAAGGAUAUGUCCAUUAUGUAGAACAGUAUACGAUAAAGUCACUAUUCAUUAAGUUAAAUAUGAAUUCUCCAGAAUUGUUGUUAAUGUUCUACUAUUUAGCUAUCCUAUUUUACAACACAGUAACAACUUACAGUUGAAGUUUUUUAAUUUUUUAAAGUUUGUCUUAGAAGAAAUUUUAAUACAUCGAAUUAUUUACAUGUUUUUCAAGAGCGCGUCAAAAAGAGGAGAGUGGCACGGACCGUUUCUAUGGUAUGAGCAAUUCAACGACUAUCACUUCCUCUCGAAUUGGCGGACUGACAGAUAUUAUAGGACUUAUGGAGAGUUUCCAUCAUUUGAAUAAAUUGGAUAAAGUCUACUUAAAAAUUUCAAAGAUUAUGAUCAAAAAUCUUAAUCAAUCUAUGUUACACUUUAGAAAAUAACUAAUAAUCAUUAAUACAUACAUACUUACCCUUUAAUUAUGUAUAAUUGU